AGGCAGAGCUGCAAGAGCCUCAGAGUCACAGCACACCGCUGUCUGGCCACUGGGGCCUGGCGUCCCUGCGAGCCGGGGCAGGAGCAAAUCCCGCUCCCCACGUGUGUGGGGCAGGCACUUUCCGUUGGUCCUUCCUAAAGCUUCACGUGGGGGCUGCAGUCCCUGCCCUUGCUCUGGGCAAUGGUGGUGGGGUCUCCAGAUGAGGCCCUGUGAAAACGGUUCCUCAGCUCAACGCUGGUGACCAGCAGCUGCAUGUCCAUCUGGAGCCCCUCUCCACUCCUCAGGUGCCACCUGGGUAUGUCACCCCAGAACCACAUGGACAGCUCUGCCCAGUCCUGCCGUCACCACAAGGAGCCACAUCCUCGGCUGGGCUUGAAAUCCGCACGAGUGCCCUGGACUUUAGUCCCCCUGAGUGCCCGUCAGCUGGCCAAAGCAUCCUGAAGAAGGGCCACAGAGGGGCACUGGGGCCACCACUGGGCCAACCCGGCUGAACCUGCAGGACGAGUGCAGAGCUCCCCGCAGGCUGAGUGGUGUCACCUGCUGGCCUAGGCCGCCAGGAAGCCAGGCGGGAAGGGAGGAUCCAGAGCCCCAGGCCUGCAGCCGCAUCCCAGAUGGAAAGGAGAGGACACUAGGAGUUUGCUCUUGGCCUGUCGACCUGCCCCCGUGCACCCUCCUCCUCCCACGGCCACCCUUGCUGGGGCCUGGGGGUGGAGACCGAGCAAGGAGAUGCCAGGAGUGCAUGGACACUGCCUUGCCUCUUGUCCACCAGGUGGGGAGAACCCCAGCAGGGCAGGUUCCUCGAAGCCCUCAGAACGGACCCCUCUUGGAAGCUCGCUGCCAGCCCUGGCCGAGUGUGUGGCCAUGUCCCUCUCCUGCCUCGCGUGGGCAGGAAUCCGACUUGGGUGAGGCCCUGAGGUCUGGGCAGGUCUGCAGAGAUGGCAGCUGUGGCCGGGGAGGCUGCACACACUGGGCCCCCAAGACCAGGGGAGAGCAUCGUCCAGGGGGCCAGCGGCUCCCCGGGUCAGCUGGCUGCUGGGAG
rnacentral:lncRNA from 1 species